rnacentral:tRNA from 1 species
GCCUUCAUGGUGUAGUGGUCAGCCCUCUGGAGGCGUAUUCCAGAGGUCCGUGGUUCGAUUCCUGGCGAAGGCA